AGCGUUGCCAACUUCCGAACACCAAAUUUAAUCUUAGCCAUUGAUCUAUCUUUAGUUAAAUCUCAGCAAUCCAUUGCUUUUAAGGCAUUAACCGGUUAUUCACUGUUACAGUGCCUGCUCACAAGCAAUCUGCGUCUCCUUCUCCCUCUCUCGCUCUCACCUCCGACCUAGGGUUCGGAUUUGGCUCCUCUAUGGUACAACACAAUGUCCGGCGUGCAUCCAACGCCUAGAAACCCCUUGGGCUGCGUGCGACCGCCUUGGACUCUGUGCCAAGGCGUUUCUGACUGUUGAAUGCGAGCCGAACACUAUAUUGUGCCACAGAGGAGCUCAAUCCCCUAGGGUUCACCUCAACCCACUCUCCUCCCCUCCCCACCUCCCCUUCCUCCUGUUCUCCCUCUCUGUCUCUCAGAAUAUUUUCUGAUUCUAAUCUUACCCUCUUAUACUCCUGAAAUCGCUGGAUUCCGUCUCUUCCUUCUUCGGAAAACUCUGGAUUAUAUUAGUACAGAUUUCUCCACUUGUCUAGUCCUUAUUAUAUUUGGGAGAGAUUUACCUCGUAACGUGAGAAGGAAAACGAAAGCUCCAAAGAAGGGAAAGUAUGGAGAAGAAACAGAGAAGUGGAGUUUGGUCGUCGUUCUUCAUUCUCAGUUCCAACUUCUCUGAAAUGGGGAAAAUUUGGAUAUUCUUUCUGGCUGGGAAUUCCCCUGGAACACUGAGCACACGAAAUUGGAGGAAAGAUAUAUGUAGAACAAAAGGUCUCCUGAUUAAUGCCCUGGUGGAACUUGGUUGAUCGCUGCAAUGAGAUUGUGAUGAAGAAGAAGAUGGUGUGGGAGAACUGGUAGCAGGUUGAUAUUAAAUGUAGCGUUUUAUUACUUUUGAACGCUUAAGCACUGCUAACUUUUGGCCUUCUUGCAUUUUUUUUUUUUUUUUGGGUAGGUAGAGAGGGAAGUAGGUAACAGCUAGGAGACUUGAACUUGAAACCUCUCGAUACGAUGUCUAUUUGCAGUGUAACUUCUAUGAACCAAGCUGAUGGUCUGAGGUACGUUAAUAUUACAUGCAAAUAUCACCAAAAGAGCUACAGUCAAGGUAUCAGAGUCCAAAGAUAACCCCAACAAACUCUACUACACCUAUCCAAAGAUUAUAUAAGAGAAGAAAUAUGGAUUUUUCGCUUGGUGUGAGCUAGUGAAUGUGACACCAGUCAGAACUGCACCAUCAAACAACCUCAGUCCUCAUGAUUUUCAAUAGUUGAAGGAUGAGAUGCAUAGUCUGAAGGUAAGAUUGCAGCGGUUGGGGAAAUUUAAUAAAAUAUUGAAGCUUGUUGGACAAGUGUUUUAUGUAUUGUGGUUGUUCUACCGGUUGUAAUGGUUGUAAAAUCUUACAAGUCUUUGUUAGGAUGGUAAUGAUGGUCGGGAUGGUUGGGAAGAUUGUUUAGGAUUUUGAGUGGAAUAGACCUAGUAUGGAACUUUUUAAAGAAAUAUGUAACUGAAUUGAAUAUGGUAAUUAGAAUGUUAUCUUCUUUCUACCA